rnacentral:rRNA from 1 species
AGUGAACGCUGGCGGUAGGCCUAACACAUGCAAGUCGAACGGCAGCACAGUAAGAGCUUGCUCUUACGGGUGGCGAGUGGCGGACGGGUGAGGAAUACAUCGGAAUCUACUUUUUCGUGGGGGAUAACGUAGGGAAACUUACGCUAAUACCGCAUACGACCUACGGGUGAAAGCAGGGAAUCUUCGGACCUUGCGCGAUUGAAUGAGCCGAUGUCGGAUUAGCUGGUUGGCGGGGUAAAGGCCCACCAAGGCGACGAUCCGUAGCUGGUCUGAGAGGAUGAUCAGCCACACUGGAACUGAGACACGGUCCAGACUCCUACGGGAGGCAGCAGUGGGGAAUAUUGGACAAUGGGCGCAAGCCUGAUCCAGCCAUACCGCGUGGGUGAAGAAGGCCUUCGGGUUGUAAAGCCCUUUUGUUGGGAAAGAAAAGCAGCAGGUUAAUACCCCGCUGUUCUGACGGUACCCAAAGAAUAAGCACCGGCUAACUUCGUG